CUACGGGAGGCUGCAGUGGGGAAUAUUGGGCAAUGGGCGAAAGCCUGACCCAGCCAUGCCGCGUGAGUGAUGAAGGCCCUAGGGUUGUAAAGCUCUUUCAAUGGUGAAGAUAAUGACGGUAACCAUAGAAGAAGCCCCGGCUAACUUCGUGCCAGCAGCCGCGGUAAUACGAAGGGGGCAAGCGUUGUUCGGAUUUACUGGGCGUAAAGCGCAUGUAGGCGGUUUGUUAAGUUAGAUGUGAAAGCCCAGGGCUCAACCCUGGAACUGCAUUUAAUACUGGCAAACUUGAGUAUAGGAGAGGAGAACGGAAUUUCCAGUGUAGAGGUGAAAUUCGUAGAUAUUGGAAAGAACACCAGUGGCGAAGGCGGUUCUCUGGCCUAAUACUGACGCUGAGAUGCGAAAGCGUGGGGAGCAAACAGGAUUAGAUACCCCGGUAGUC
rnacentral:rRNA from 1 species